rnacentral:rRNA from 1 species
AGGGAACGCUGGCGGCAGGCCUAACACAUGCAAGUCGAGCGGAUGAAGGGAGCUUGCUCCUGGAUUCAGCGGCGGACGGGUGAGUAAUGCCUAGGAAUCUGCCUGGUAGUGGGGGAUAACGUCCGGAAACGGGCGCUAAUACCGCAUACGUCCUGAGGGAGAAAGUGGGGGAUCUUCGGACCUCACGCUAUCAGAUGAGCCUAGGUCGGAUUAGCUAGUUGGUGGGGUAAAGGCCUACCAAGGCGACGAUCCGUAACUGGUCUGAGAGGAUGAUCAGUCACACUGGAACUGAGACACGGUCCAGACUCCUACGGGAGGCAGCAGUGGGGAAUAUUGGACAAUGGGCGAAAGCCUGAUCCAGCCAUGCCGCGUGUGUGAAGAAGGUCUUCGGAUUGUAAAGCACUUUAAGUUGGGAGGAAGGGCAGUAAGUUAAUACCUUGCUGUUUUGACGUUACCAACAGAAUAAGCACCGGCUCCCUUCGUG